AACGAACGCUGGCGGCAGGCCUAACACAUGCAAGUCGAGCGAAGCCUUCGGGCUUAGCGGCGGACGGGGGAGUAACGCGUGGGAACGUGCCCUUUGCUACGGAAUAGCCCCGGGAAACUGGGAGUAAUACCGUAUGUGCCCUUCGGGGGACAGAUUUAUCGGCAAAGGAUCGGCCCGCGUUGGAUUAGGUAGUUGUUGGGGUAAUGGCCUAACAAGCCGACGAUACAUAGCUGGUUUGAGCGGAUGAUCAGCCACAGUGGGACAGAGACAAGGGCCAGACGCCUACGGGAGGCAGCAGUGGUGAAUCAUAGACAAAGGGGAAAACCUUGAUCUAGCCAUGCCGCGUGAUCGAUGAAGGCCUUAGGAUUGUAAAGAUCUAUCAAUGGGGAAGAAAAUGACUGUACCCACAGAAGAAGCCCUGGCUAACUCCUUGCCAGCCGCCGCCGUAAGAC
rnacentral:rRNA from 1 species